UUACGGCCAUAGCACGUUGAAACAUUGGUUCUCGUACGAUCACCGAAGUUAAGCAACGUUGAAAUUAGUCAGUACCUAUAUGGGUAACCGCGUGAGAAUAGCGCGUUCUGUAA